ensembl:lncRNA
GAAAACUCCUUAUUAACAUAAUUUUUAGGGCUGGACCCGAAUAUUCGAAUAUUCGUUCGGUGGGUUGGUAUUCAAUUUGAAAAUUUGACAUUUGAAUAUUGUUUUGUUCUUUUUUUUUUUUUUUUUUUCGGACCUGGUAUCCCCCGCGAAACUGUUCUCAUUCGCGCUUGAAUAAGGCCGAGGACACACUAGCUGCUUGGCAUGAGCUUCUCAGCUGCGUGGCGUGUCCGUUUUUAUUUCGGCUCCCAUGUUAACAGGUUGGGACUUUGCUCACUGCCUGCGUGAGACACACAAUGACUUCUUUUUAAAAUAAUUUAUUUUUUUAUGAUAUUGUGAUUGCAUGAAUGAACAAGAGCAGCAUUUACUUAACUUCUUAGCCUAGUAGUUAUUCAUAUUGUAAUAUGUAUUUUGGUGAUCUAUUAUUUUUUUAUUUGUUCUUCUCUUUCUCUGCAGGUUCCUUAAUCCCUGUCCUUUUAAAAAAACAGCACCUCAUUACAUCGAAAAAAAGGCACUUUUAAGAGCCACAUUUGUCUUGUAUCUUGUUACUCUCUCUACUGUUGUAUUGUGUUCUCUCUCUCUUGCUGUCUUACUGUCUCUCCCUCCCCUCUGAGUGGGGUUUUUGUUUGUUUGUUUUGUCUUUUUUGUCCCUGUGUGUUUAUAGUGUGUUUAUAUUUUGUGCCAUGUCUGAUCCUGAGAUGGACCGUCUCCUUAAUGAGAUGAGUGACCUUGUCGAUCAGGCUGAACAUCAAGCUCACCUCCAACAGCUCAUUAGCAUGCACCAGGAAGCAGAACCAUCCACCAGUCAGCCUUCCACCAGUAAUCCAUCCACCAGCCGGCCAUCAAACAGCAAGCAAGAUGUUAGGUGGAUUAAGAGGGACAGUGAUGGAAACAUUAUUUACGGCAGGCCCAGAUCAUCCCGGAAACAAGCAGUCCCAGUCACAGCCAGAGUCGAAAGACUGGUGUCUAUCAUAUCAGGGCUCCUGAAACCAGUGCGGAAAUGACCAGUGACUUUCCUUCCAUUACUGCAGAGUCCUUCCUUCAAGAGCUUAAAAGCUCGCUGUUUGAGGACAUACAUGAGGAUGAAACAGCACUUCAAGCCUCAACAGACUGGUUGACCCGAAGGAGCCUCAUAUCAGGGUGGUGGGAGAAAGAGAGACCCCGACUGGUCAACACCAUGGUGCCUCGACAACAUGCGGCAACUCGGAUCUGCCAACAUUGUGGAAAUGGUUCAGCCGUAAUCCGUUGUUGUGACUGCCGACCACACCCAUUCCUCUGUGGCCAGUGUGAUGUCAGGGUCCACCGAGGUCAGUUGUUCCACAACAGGGAUUCGAUGACACAUGCAUUCUUUCAUCCAUUGCCUCCCACAACUUGUGUUGUGGAGAGGGUUCUAACCCAGUGUGGUAAGCUGUAGUUUUCUUAGACUUGACUGAAAAACUGAUAGGUCGAUGAAGCCGUCAAGUACAUCUUGUUUAAAAUAGUUGCCAGUAAAUAAAUGUUAUUCUUUAAUGCUUAUCCAUGUGUUUUUUUUUUUUUUUUGAGCGUCUUGUCCCUUUAGAGAUGCCAGAGACAAUAUGCGGUUGUCGACGAGUAUCGUCCAGUGUCAUCGCAGGACAGUCCAUAGUUGUGGUUACAAUGAAUGGGCGAUAUGAUCUCAGAUUGCCUCAGAUUAGAUGCAAAGCAUGUGAAGCCACUUGGAGUCCUGGAGUGGAUGACCUGAUCCGUAAUGACUACUGGCCUGCCACUUCUCACUAUUCAACUGUGUAUGCAACAGAUGUCCUUUUUUCUUUUGAAGAGCUGAAGAUGGCAGCACCAGGGAUGUCUAGCCAAGCAUUUCUUAGAAUGCUGGAUCAACGCACUGUUCGCUUUGGCCGUAGCGGAAACAUCACAGCAGACAGCUUCCGGAAAAGCUUCUUGGAGUGGGAAGCUGUCCAAUUCGAAGUGGACAAAUUAUGUCAGGAGGACCACUUUGACUGCCCAGCAUGCAGCCCAGACAUGCUUGAAGUAUCCGUUGAUGGAAACCAUCGGAGGAAAAAGCCAUCUUUGAUGGCGUGUUCAUCGCGAAUGAUGAUGAUGUCGCAAGAUUCGUGGACCAUGUCCAUACCUCAACCAGUCAUGUCUCUGAAAGAGGUGUCUGUGGAGGGCAAUGGUCAGCGGUGCAUGAAACGUCUCAGAAGUCCUCAGGAAAAACAGACUAGGAGGGCCUGGAACUCGCUGUAUGUCGUCAUGGGGUUCUCUUUCCUGCCCUCAAUAUGUUCAGGGGGGAGAUUUUUGCCUACCCCCUGUACCUCCAAAAGCAAAUUAAGUUAAUUUUUUUGCAAUGGAUGUGGCAUGUAAGUACUGGCCUUACCUCCAGAGAGUGACAGAGAAAUGCCCUGAGCUUGAGGAUCUCCUCACCAUGAGACCAUUUCUUUCUGUUUUUCAUGCCAAAGCUCAUGAUUUCAAAUGUGAGGUAAAAUGGAGUGGAGCAUAUCAGGAGGGGGUUGGUUCGACUCUUGGGGAAGAGGUGGAGCAGUGCAACGCCUUCCUCUCGAGGACUGCUGUUACGACAAAGCACAUGUCAAAAGCAGGAUACAUAGACAUGCUGACGAUCAUGGCCAUGCGCUGGAACCAACAAAAGUUUGACAACUUGGCUUCUACCCUUGCCCGCCGAUAUCGGAAGGCCACAAUAGCCCUGCAAUGCCAGUUGCAUAACCUGGAGGCCAUGAAAACGGAAAUGGACGUCUCAGACAAUCAACUGGAGAGAUGGAUCAUUGAUAUCAAUGAGUGGGCAGAAGCAACAACAUCCCCAAAUAAUGCUGAUGUUGCCGCUGUUGCCAGCCGAAUUGAGGAGCUGGUGGCAAGUGUUAAGAGGAGGUCCCAGCAUUUUUACCAGGAUAGUGACGGAUGCAAAGGACGUGCCCGAAUCCGCCGAAAGAUCAGGGAGGAAAAAAAAUCUUAAAUUCUGUAAUGGAAAAGUAUAACACCUUGGUUCCUAAUGCAGAAAAACUGACAUUGGACACCAUUCUAUCUGACGAGAUUGUUUGGCCAUGGCAGCUUACACAUGGUGACUCUGUAGAUCUAAGGACAAAGUGGAAGGCGUUCGACAUUGUGAUGGCAGUAAGGAGACUUGAGGAGGAGACGAGGAUUCUUAUUGCAGAGAUGAACAAGCAUUGGAAGUCUUUUUGCACCCGUGCAGACACCCUGAAGCAGAUGUCUUCCCACCUUUCUAAUGUGACAUCAGACGUGGGGCCUGCUUCAAGAUGGUAUCCGAGGUCUACAGAGCUUGAUGAUGAAGAACAAGCAAGCAAGCAACAGCCUGGCAAAGCAUGCAAAGAAAUGUUAUGUUCAAGUUCUGACUGAAACAGAAAUUAACUUUGAUAGUGAUUCUGAGGAAUACCAUACCAGUAGUGACUCUGAGCAAGAUUAAACAUGGCCAGAGUCCUUUUUUAUGCUGUUGUGUGCUGGGGAGGCAGCAUUAAGAAGAGGGCCGCUGGGACAGGUUGGUAAGGAAAGCUGGCUCUGUGUUUGGCAUGGAGCUGGAGUUAAUCAUUUAACAAACUGAGGAUAAUUUGCAGUAGCAGUCUUCUGUCAUGCUCAACACUGAAGAGGUCCUUUGUCCCCAGGGCAAACCAGCAACUCAAUGUCACAGAAAAGGUUAGGGGAGAAAUUGACUUUUCAGCAUGAGUCUCACCCUGCGCCAACCAUUACAUCACUUUGUCUAUUGUCUAGUAUCCACUAUCCAUUUGACUGUCUUACACAGUCAAAUGGACAUUAGCCCCUCUACACAUUCUGGACUGUGGUUUCAACAUUUACCCCG